rnacentral:lncRNA from 1 species
UUACCUAUAGGAUGUUAUAAAAAUAUUGUAGUAUAUAAAUUUAUGAUAUCCUAUCCAAAUUAAGACAUCUUGGAUUAAAAUUAUGACAUCCGACAAUAUCCAUAGGUCCAAAUUAUGACAUCCUGAAAUAGAGAAGUCUUGAAAUGCAGAACUAUGACAUGCUGGAUCGAAAAUUAAACCAUAAUGUCAUAAUUUUAAUCAAAAAAAUUAUAAUUUUAAUCCUCCCUUGGUACAAUUAAGGAGGU